CGUCAAACAGAGCCGCCCACAUGGGUCUACGUGUCUGGAGAACAUUGCUGCGUUACAUUCCUCCUGAUGUUCUCUACGUCUCUUUGGUCACACUGCACUGAAUUUCUGGAAAUAGAGCAAAGGAUCUAAUCAGAGCUGCUCUGCAGGAAAACACGCUCAGAAACAGAGUCAGCUGGAGAUGUCCCUAUACAGAUCACCAUCAGUUCAACAACAUACAACAUCGUUUGCCCAUGACACAUCAAGGAUUCAUGCAUCAUGCAACAGCAGUCUGUUGAAGUAAACGUUUAGUUCAAAAUACUCUGAAUUCCCUUGAGCGAAGUGCUAAAAUCAUGAAACUGUGACAGAAAAGUAUGGCUUUCAAGCAGGUCAGUGACCCUGAGCUCGCGAUUUGACAGAAAACGACUCAUUGCCCUUGUCACAGUGAAGACGGCUGAUGACUUUCAGAGUCUGUGACGUUUUUGACAAUAACUACCCCGAUGAGAGCUAGCUUUUUGGACAGGAACUAGACUGCAUUUUUGGCAGUGCCUAUUUAUUGCGAUUGGCAAGAUGAUUCAUGCCCAUUGAUAUGGGAUUUGAUGACUCUGUGCUGCCAAGUGAGUCAAAAGGCACUUUAACCAGUAUUAUGGAUUAAAAAGGUAUGAAUUGUAAUGCA